GAUGAACGCUGGCGGCGUGCCUAACACAUGCAAGUCGAACGGGGUGAGAUCCUUCGGGAUUUCACUUAGUGGCGAACGGGUGAGUAACGCGUGAGAAACCUGCCUUUCAGUGGGGGACAACAGUUGGAAACGACUGCUAAUACCGCAUAAGACCACAGUACCGCAUGGUACAGGGGUAAAAGAUUUAUCGGUUUGGGGUGAGUUCGCGUCUGAUUAGCUAGUUGGUGAGGUAACGGCCCACCAAGGCGACGAUCAGUAGCCGAUCUGAGAGGAUGACCGGCCACAUUGGAACUGAGACACGGUCCAAACUCCUACGGGAGGCAGCAGUGGGGAAUAUUGGGCAAUGGGCGAAAGCCUGACCCAGCAACGCCGCGUGAGGGAAGAAGGUUUUCGGAUUGUAAACCUCUGUCCUAAGGGAAGAAGGAAGUGACGGUACCUUAGGAGGAAGCCCCGGCUAACUACGUGCCAGCAGCCGCGGU
rnacentral:rRNA from 1 species